rnacentral:lncRNA from 1 species
CAGCACGCGGAGGGGAGCCAUGCAGAUGAGGCUGCGGUGCACCUGGGAUUCAGCCACCUUCGUUCCUUUUACCCCUGAGUGUCCAUCACGUGCUGCUCAUGCAGAAGUGCUCAAGUUCGCUGUAAACAUAGUUUUCAUUUCUCCCGGGUGGAGACCUCCAUAAGUAGGCUCUAGGGAUUGAGCCUGUUUCUGUGGAACGCCUUCCGUGGUCUGCGAGGUGCACAGAGGGGUCGCAAAAAGCUUCCAGGUUGCACCUUCCCAUGGACUGAUGCUGAGCGUGUUCUCAUCUCCCAUCCGGAUGUUUUCUUUGGUUGGAGUGCAACGGCGCGAUCUUGGCUCACUGCAACCUCCCCCCACCCACCUCACUUCGGGUUCAAGCGAUUCUCCUGCCUCAGCCUCCUGAGUAGCUGGGACUCCAGGCGCCCGCCACCAUGCCCAGCUAAUUUUUGUAUUUUGAGAAGAGAUAGGGUUUCACCAUGUUGGCCAGGCUGGUCUCGAACUCCUGACCUCAGGUGAUCCACCCGCCUCGGCCUCCCAAAAUGCGAGGAUCACAGGCGUGAGAUGCCACACCUGGCCUCUUUUUAUUUUUAAUGGAGUGGCUUGUUUUCUUAUUACUCGGUCUUGGGAGUUCCUCAUGGAUGCUGGAUUUCAGUCUCGUCUCAGGUGUAUGCGUUUUGUAGAUGGCUUCUGUAGGGACCAGCCCCACAGGGUUGGUGAGUUUCUCCCUGUGUGCUGAGAUGAGAGAGCAUAGAAAUAAGAACACAAGAAAAAGACAUAAAAGAAAAGACAGCUGGGCCUGGGGACCACUACCACCAAGACGUGGAGACCAGUAGUGGCCCCGAAUGUCUGGCUGUGCUGAUAUUUAUUGGAUACAAAGCAAAAGGGACAGGGUAAAGAGUGUGAGUCAUCUCCAAUGAUAGUUAAGGUGACGUGAGUCACGUGUCCACCGGAUGGGGGGCCCUUCCCUGCCUGGCAGCCAAGGUGGAGAGAGAGAAAGAGAGACAACUUACAUCAUUAUUUCUGCAUAUCAGAGACUUUUAGUAUUUUCACUAAUUGACUACUGCUAUCCAGAAGGCAGAGCCAGGUGUACAGGAUGGAACAUGAAGGCGGACUACGAGCGUGACCACUGAAGCACAGCAUCACAGGGAGACGGUUAGGCCUCUGGAUAACUGUGGGCAGGGCUGACUGAUGUCAGGCCCUCCACAGGAGGUGGAGGAGUAGAGUCCUCUCUAAGCUCCCCCAGGGAAAGGGAGACUCCCUUUCCGGGUCUGCUAAGUAGCAGGUGUUUUUCCUUGACACUGAUGCUACCGCUAGAUCACGGUCCGCUUGGCAACAGGCAUCUUCCCAGACGCUGGCGUCACCGCUAGACCAAGGAGCCCUCUGGUGGCCCUGUCCUGGCAUAACAGAAGGCUCGCACUCUUGUCUUCUGGUCACUUCUCACUAUGUCCCCUCAGCUCCUAUCUCUGUAUGGCCUGGUUUUUCCUAGGUUAUAAUCGUACAGCAAGGAUUAUUAUCAUAUUGGAAUAAAGAGUAAUUGC